GGAGUGAACAGCUCUCUCUGGCUUUUGUGAGGCAGGUGUUGCAGAGCCUGCCGGGGGUCCCCAUGACCACGCCAGGACCCCAAGCGGACAGGGAAGCGUGUGAGUGGCUACCCACCCGCCGGCUAAAGUGGAGAUAAUGAGCAACUCUCGGCCCAUGGAUGAUAUGCCGUUCCGUGCCUUCUCCCAAAUGAGCACGAACUGUACCAUUACUGUGGGAACCCAGCAAGCCAAGCCCCCUACAUGGGGUCAACUGAAGAAAUUGACCCAGGAAGCUGAAAUGCGCUUUGCCGUCUGAACCAGCCGCAGACACCAACUAAUCUAUUGCUGGCAAUGAUGGCCGUUAUCACAUGCCAGUCUUCCGCCGAUGGUCCCAGCAGCGAGUCGUAGAUAACAACAAUCAAAAUAUGUUGUCGACCUUACAACAUGUAACAUCUCAAAUAAAAUUUAAAAAGGGGA